CCUACGGGGGCCAGCAGUGGGGGAUAUUGCACAAUGGGGGCAACCCUGAUGCAGCGACGCCGCGUGAGCGAUGGAGUACUUCGGUAUGUAAAGCUCUGUCAGCAGGGAAGAGAAUGACGGUACCUGACCAAGAAGCCCCGGCUAACUACGUGCCAGCAGCCGCGGUAAUACGUAGGGGGCAAGCGUUAUCCGGAUUUACUGGGUGUAAAGGGAGCGUAGGUGGCAGGGCAAGUCAGAUGUGAAAACCCGGGGCUCAACCCCGGUACUGCAUUUGAAACUGUCCAGCUGGAGUGCAGGAGAGGUAA
rnacentral:rRNA from 1 species